rnacentral:rRNA from 1 species
UACGUAGGGACCAAGCGUUGUUCGGAUUUACUGGGCGUAAAGGGCGCGUAGGCGGCUUGUCAAGUCACUUGUGAAAUCUCUGGGCUUAACCCAGAACGGCCAAGUGAAACUGUCAUGCUAGAGUGCAGAAGGGGCAAUCGGAAUUCUUGGUGUAGCGGUGAAAUGCGCAGAUAUCAGGAGGAACACCAGUGGCGAAGGCGCCGCUCUGGGCCGUAACUGACGCUGAGAAGCGAAAGCGUGGGUAGCAAACAGG